rnacentral:RNase_P_RNA from 1 species
GUAAGAGACUACCGCUUCUUUGGUAACAAAGAAGGCUGUGUAAACCCCAUCCGAAGCAAGACCAAAUGGAAGCAAUAGGCUUGCCCGGCCUGCUUUCAGGUGGGUCGCUUGAGAUUGCCGGCGACGGCAAUACCAGAUAGAUGAUUAUUCACGACAGAACCCGGCUUAUCGUUCUGCUUGCUAU